GUGUAUGUGAAUCAAGAAAACUAAGACGAAACUGAUGGGACUCUAGCUUGUGGGAAAUCACUAAGCACACAGUUCUCAUUCAUACAUUGUAUCUUUUCAGUUCAGGACUGUUCUAUCCUUUCUCAUGAGAAAGUGCCUUCCUCUACCAGGACCUGUUCUGUUCUUUCUCAUGGGAAAGUGUUUUUCUCCACCAGAGUACCUGAGAGAAAUGCAUCCAAUCUAAUUGGGAGGAACUUUAUCAUGCAGCAAGACAAUCACCCAAAACACACUGCCAACACAACAACGGACUUCUUCAGGGGGAAAAAAGUGGGAAGAACAGUUUGGUGAUGUCAGUGGGUCACCAGCUUGAUGCGGUUACUGCAAGCAAGGGAUGCAUCCUCAGCUUGUUGAUCAGUGGUGUUGGAUCAGAUUUCUGCAAACUGCUCUCUGACAAUGUUUAUUGUCGGAACACAACAAUGACCUAGUGAUUCUAUGGUUACUAAAACCUAAAGGACAAAGACAAAAUACUUAUCAAAAACUAAGUAUUAAACUCUGCUCAGACUAAAACAAUAAGCAAUGUCUUAGCUACUGUAAUAGCUACAGCUGCUGGGUCCUAUUAAUGGGACAAACUGUGCUAUUUAUUAAGAAUGGUACACAGGAUUGUUUUUUUAAUCCCACUCCAGCAGACACCGUUAAUCCCACCCACUUCUGCAGUUCUAAUUUUUGCUUGCACCUGCCAGUGAUAUUUUCUAAGGAAUCUUUGGUUGGUUCUAUUUCCACAAAUGUAAACAAAUAGUUUAAACCACAGUGAUUAAAGUAUUUACUGAAAAUGAA